rnacentral:lncRNA from 1 species
GCCCGCCUUCCUCGCUCCAGAACCAGAGUACAUCCCUCUCCUCUCACUCAUGUCAUUUCUGUUCAGCGAUGUUGCCUGCUCUUUUGCACACUCAGAUCAUUUUGUGUUUCACGUGUCUGCUUGGAGUAGGCUAGUAUAACAAAUGCAUCCAGCCUUUCUAGGACUUGUAUGGCUAUAGGGAGUUCUUAGUUGCAAGAUAUUGACAUCAUUUUUGUUAUUGGAAGAUAUUGAAGCGAUUAUGCUCAAAAUGACAAGGAUUUGGGGGGCAUUCAAUACUUAAGUCUGUCUUCCAAGUUAUCAUCACAAUUCCUGUUGGUUGUAUUGUAGAGAUAAUGACACACUUGAUACUUCGUUAAUUUGUGCUGUAUGGUCUCUAGUCUCUACACAUGUUCAUUAUCCUGUCCUGCUGUAUUUCACAUUCUGAAAGUUUCCCAGUUACAUUUUUUGAAUUAUUCUUGCACAACUUCCUAGUAUGCUUCGAAUGGAUAUUGAUCGCACCAUGUGACUGUCCUAGAACUGGUGUUAUUCAGUACACGCUACGUGAUACGUAAUUUUGGCACCAGGACCAACAUUAUGUUUACAUUGGUAACUACGUUGCUCAUGGAUUGUAAAAUUCAUUCUGACAUCGCAGUUUUGUACAUUGGGUUCACGUUUUAACUUUUAACUGCCCGCUCACUCUGAUUUCCUUGCUCAUUUUGAUUUGUUAUAAACUGCUUUUAUGUUAUCUUUAGAUUUCCAAAGUGCAGAUUUUUUUUAUGCUGGGAGUUGUAGUGAGCUUCUUUCACAGGCUUGGUGCAAGUUUCAUAUUGGGUCUUUUAGCUUCUGUUUAUGAAUUGUAUUCCUGGGAAAUCAGCAUCUUGAUGUGUUCUUUUUCUCUUACACAUUUGCCUUGUGGAACUGGGUUGGGAGAUGGUCCUCAUUAUUCGCAUUAAGUUCUUAACUGUGACCCUCGAUGUCACCUUUACUUUCUCUUAUCUUUACAAUUGAUAAGGACACAAUCUUGCUUGUAUUUUUGUAGUAUCUGAUCAUUUAGAAGAUCAAAGAAAUCCAGAUAGGAUAUUACUGGUGUCAAACAUGCAUAUGAUUAUAUAUGUGACGUUCACUGUGUGAUUAUUGGUUAAUUAGGUACCUCAUACUCCUCACUGCAUGAAAUCAAUUGAUGAUUUGGCUACUUCUUGUCUAGAGAUAGCACAUCUUGUUCAGUUUUCUUUUCAUAAUACGGUAAUUGUCAUUUUGUCUGAAUUGUUGUGAUCUUUUUGGCAACUCUUUAAGAGAAAAAUCUUUUACUGGUAUUCACUUCUAGGUUUGAAUUCUGAACAGUAAACAGCAUAGACAUGAGCUUUAAUAUUUUUCUUAUACUGCUUGCUAAUCCUGCACUUUCAUCAAGUUAUAUUGGUUUGUUUCAGUGCAAAUUUGGUAGCUGAUACUUUUUUCAUUUCUAUGAUUCAGGCCGUUGGUGACUUGUAAGGAAUUGGCGCAUCUUUGUUUGAAGUCAGCUCUUCAUUUCUGGGUCACUACUUUCAUGCUAACACCUCACGUUGAGCUCAUGGGGAACCUCUGAUUACCUUCACCUUCAUGCCACUAUUUAAGUAAUCUUUUGAUGCUAUGUUUAUCCAAACGUCAUUUGGACUUGAUGAUAUUCAGCAAGGUGUACUGUUAAAUUAUGCUUAUUUUGGACGCUUUGGUCGUAUUCCGUAAUAUUCAUCGAAUUUCGACUUCCGUAAUGUUCUGUCUUGCCUUGGUAUUGUGCAG